rnacentral:rRNA from 1 species
UGGCUCAGGACGAACGCUGGCGGCGUGCUUAACACAUGCAAGUCGAGCGAUGAAGCUUCUUCGGAAGUGGAUUAGCGGCGGACGGGUGAGUAACACGUGGGUAACCUGCCUCAUAGAGGGGAAUAGCCUUCCGAAAGGAAGAUUAAUACCGCAUAAGAUUGUAAUAUCGCAUGAUAUAGCAAUUAAAGGAGUAAUCCGCUAUGAGAUGGACCCGCGUCGCAUUAGCUAGUUGGUGAGGUAACGGCUCACCAAGGCGACGAUGCGUAGCCGACCUGAGAGGGUGAUCGGCCACAUUGGGACUGAGACACGGCCCAGACUCCUACGGGAGGCAGCAGUGGGGAAUAUUGCACAAUGGGGGAAACCCUGAUGCAAGCAACGCCGCGUGAGUGAUGACGGUCUUCGGAUUGUAAAGCUCUGUCUUCAGGGACGAUAAUGACGGUACCUGAGGAGGAAGCCACGGCUAACUACGUGCCAGCCGCCGC